rnacentral:rRNA from 1 species
UACAGAGGGUGCAAGCGUUGUUCGGAAUUAUUGGGCGUAAAGCGCGUGUAGGCGGUUUUGCAAGUCGGGUGUGAAAGCCCUCAGCUCAACUGAGGAAGUGCGCCCGAAACUGCAGAUCUUGAGUACCGGAGAGGGUGGCGGAAUUCCCCAAGUAGAGGUGAAAUUCGUAGGUAUGGGGAGGAACACCGGUGGCGAAGGCGGCCACCUGGACGGAUACUGACGCUGAGACGCGAAAGCGUGGGUAGCAAACAGG